UUUCAGGUCCUGCAAUGAAAGCGAGCCGAACCCCGUCAGAUCCGGAAGGAAGCAGCGGUAAGCAUUGUAAUCGUGUGUCGGAUUCCCCUGAGGCAC
rnacentral:SRP_RNA from 1 species